UCACCUACGGGGGGCAGCAGUGGGGAAUAUUGCACAAUGGGGGAAACCCUGAUGCAGCGACGCCGCGUGAGUGAAGAAGUAUUUCGGUAUGUAAAGCUCUGUCAGCAGGGAAGAAAAUGACGGUACCUGACCAAGAAGCCCCGGCUAACUACGUGCCAGCAGCCGCGGUAAUACGUAGGGGGCAAGCGUUAUCCGGAUUUACUGGGUGUAAAGGGUGCGUAGGCGGCCUUGCAAGUCAGAAGUGAAAUCCAUGGGCUUAACCCGU
rnacentral:rRNA from 1 species